GACAGAGGGUGCAAACGUUGCUCGGAAUUACUGGGCGUAAAGCGCGUGUAGGUGGAUUGGUGUGUCAGAUGUGAAAGCCCUGGGCUCAACCCAGGAACAGCACCUGAAACUACCAGUCUUGAGUGGUGGAGAGGGAAGUGGAAUUCCUGGUGUAGAGGUGAAAUUCGUAGAUAUCAGGAGGAACACCAGUGGCGAAGGCGGCAUCCUGGACCGGUAUUGACGCUGAGGCGCGAAAGCCAGGGGAGCAAACGGG
rnacentral:rRNA from 1 species